AGCUGCAGGAUAUGGCUAGAUAACAACACUGCUUUGUUUUGAGUACCUUCUGAAACCUUUUUUUAGUCAUGUAAAAUCGUUCACAGUGAUAGGUGAAGCUCAUUUUCUUUUUACUACGUUCCAUAUGUAGCUAUCUAGCAAAAAAACGUUGGCUACUAAUGAUUCCACAAAAGUAGCAUUUGCCUUGGUUGGACGACAGGCUGCUGGAAGCUAACGUUAGCUAAUGUUAGCUAAUGUUUGCAAUUCGAACCAACAUUAACAGAUGUUUGAGAUUGUUGGCUGGCUGACCUAGACAGCUAACAAAAUAUUUUUUCACCAGGCGAAAUAGACGCAUUCGUCCAACAGCCAGGAUGGUGUGUGAACUGCUUCUGUCGUCUGUUUGGUUCCUUUUCGUUAUCUUUUGGAUGGAGACGAUCAGCGUUUGGCUUUUCUUAUGUUUCUUCUAUCAGGACAGGGCCUUCUAUCAUUGGGGAGAUGGGGUGUUUGCUGACGACCCUGGACAAAUGCUCUACAUGUUAACCAGAGUUGAUCGUUCUGGGGAGAUGCAGACAUGAGAGUCAAGAGUACAACACAAUAUUUCAUGAUUGGAGCACGGGAGAAGAAUGGGGCCUUUCAUAUUUCCUUUACCAUCUUUUAAGAUAUUCUGUAUCCAUGUCCAUAUCUGGACCUGCCUGCAUCCCCCUUUGAAAGCAAAUGGGACCAAUGGAACACUUUCUAGUUGGAUGGAUGACUACCUGUCUAUUUGAUGGACAGCAGAAAAGAUUUAACAUAAAUGUGGACCUUUUCCUGAAAGCAUUUUCAGUUACACUACACUAACCAGCCUAUGUCCUCGGCCCUAGUCCAAUAUGGUCAGGGUAUAUACAGUCUAAUUAUAUAUACCUGUGUAUAUAGACAUUUAAUUUGAAUGUGUGAACAAGGAGUCAUCUCUACACUCUGUGAGACUUGAUGAAUCUUAUGUCAAUGGUAUAAAAUGGAAUUUAGUGAGGCAAAGAAUGUUUCAGCGGUUCUGUUUAUAAAUUGAUUGGUGACUGUCUUAAACUUUCAGAUCAUUUUUACCUUGUCGAGACUGUUAAAUUGUAUAUUACUCACACUCAAGGGUGUUUUUCUUGAAAGCAAUAAAGUUGAUAUUUGCUUGGUUAA